rnacentral:rRNA from 1 species
CUUGACUGUAGCUUGGAAUUGGGUUUGGGCUCUUCUUGCGCAGCCUAGGUGGGAGGCGUUGAAAGUUCCCUUCCGGGGGUUCUUGAGCCAUCAGUGAGAGACCACUCUGGAAGAGCUAGAAUUCUAAUGGCGAUCCUUGAAUCAGGACGCUUGACAGUUUCAGGCGGGCAGUUUGACUGGGGCGGUCGCCUCCUAAAAGGUAACGGAGGCGUGCAAAGGUUCCCUCAGGCUGGACGGAAAUCAGCCGUAGAGUGUAAAGGCAGAAGGGAGCUUGACUGCAAGACCUACAAGUCGAGCAGGGGCGAAAGCCGGCCUUAGUGAUCCGACGGUACCGUGUGGAAGGGCCGUCGCUCAACGGAUAAAAGUUA